rnacentral:rRNA from 1 species
GAAAGGAAACCAACCGGGAUUGCCCCAGUAACGGCGAGUGAAGCGGCAAGAGCUCAAAUUUGAAAUCUGGCCCCUCCGGGGUCCGAGUUGUAAUUUGCAGAGGAUGCUUCGGGUGCGGCCCCUGUCUAAGUGCCCUGGAACGGGCCGUCAGAGAGGGUGAGAAUCCCGUCUUGGGCAGGGUGCCCGUGCCCGUGUGAAGCUCCUUCGACGAGUCGAGUUGUUUGGGAAUGCAGCUCUAAAUGGGUGGUAAAUUUCAUCUAAAGCUAAAUACCGGCCGGAGACCGAUAGCGCACAAGUAGAGUGAUCGAAAGAUGAAAAGCACUUUGAAAAGAGAGUUAAACAGCACGUGAAAUUGUUGAAAGGGAAGCGCUUGCGACCAGACUCGGCCUCGGGGUUCAGCCAGCAUUCGUGCUGGUGUACUUCCCCGGGGCCGGGCCAGCGUCGGUUCGGGCGGCCGGUCAAAGGCCCCAGGAAAUGUAUCGUCCUCCGGGACGUCUUAUAGC